CCGUCCAGCACUGCUGCGGGGCGAUGAAGUGAAUGUGGCUGUCCACGCCGCCAGCCGUCAGGAUGUGGCCCUCUCCGGCGACGAUCUCGGUGCUGGCCCCGAUGGUCAGGCCCGCCGUGACGCCGUCUUGCGUUCCCGGAUUGCCCGCUUUACCAAUAGCCGUGAUACGCCCGUUUUUAACGCCCACAUCGGCCUUGAUGACGCCCCAGUGAUCCAGAAUGAUGGCGUUGGUGAUGACCAGAUCGGCAACGUUGGCAUCCUCGCGGGUGGCGGUGCUGCUCUGGCCCAGGCCGUCGCGG
rnacentral:sRNA from 1 species